GUCCACGCCGUAAACGAUGCGUGCUAGACGUUGGGGGGCUUGCCCUUCGGUGUCGCAGCUAACGCGCGAAGCACGCCGCCUGGGGAGUACGGUCGCAAGAUUAAAACUCAAAGGAAUUGACGGGGGCCCCGCACAAGCGGUGGAGCAUGUGGUUUAAUUCGAAGCAACGCGCAGAACCUUACCAGCCCUUGACAUGGGGCGUACGGCCCUGGGAGACCGGGGCCAUCAGUUCGGCUGGCGCCCACACAGGUGCUGCAUGGCUGUCGU
rnacentral:rRNA from 1 species